UACGUAGGGUGCGAGCGUUAAUCGGAAUUACUGGGCGUAAAGCGUGCGCAGGCGGCUUUGCAAGACAGAUGUGAAAUCCCCGGGCUCAACCUGGGAACUGCAUUUGUGACUGCAAGGCUAGAGUACGGCAGAGGGGGAUGGAAUUCCGCGUGUAGCAGUGAAAUGCGUAGAUAAGCGGAGGAACACCAAUGGCGAAGGCAAUCCCCUGGGCCUGUACUGACGCUCAUGCACGAAAGCGUGGGGAGCAAACAGG
rnacentral:rRNA from 1 species